rnacentral:rRNA from 1 species
UACGUAGGGUGCGAGCGUUAAUCGGAAUUACUGGGCGUAAAGCGUGCGCAGGCGGUUUUGUAAGCCGGAUGUGAAAUCCCCGGGCUUAACCUGGGAAUGGCAUUCGGGACUGCAAGGCUGGAGUGCGGCAGAGGAGACUGGAAUUCCUGGUGUAGCAGUGAAACGCGUAGAUAUCAGGAGGAACACCGAUGGCGAAGGCAGGUCUCUGGGCUGACACUGACGCUCAUGCACGAAAGCGUGGGGAGCAAACAGG